rnacentral:rRNA from 1 species
UGGGGAAUAUUGGACAAUGGGCGCAAGCCUGAUCCAGCCAUGCCGCGUGAUUGAUGAAGGCCCUAGGGAUGUAAAGCUCUUUCACCGGUGAAGAUAAUGACGGUAACCGGAGAAGAAGCCCCGGCUAACUUCGUGCCAGCAGCCGCGGUAAUACGAAGGGGGCUAGCGUUGUUCGGAUUUACUGGGCGUAAAGCGCACGUAGACGGACUUUUAAGUCAGGGGUGAAAUCCCGGGGCUCAACCCCAGAACUGCCUUUGAUACUGGAAGUCUUGAGUAUGGUAGAGGUGAGUGGAAUUCCGAGUGUAAAGGUGAAAUUCGUAGAUAUUCGGAGGAACACCAGUGGCAGAGGCGGCUCACUGGACCAUUACUGACGCUGAGGUGCGUAAGCGUGGGGAGCAAACAGG